CAGUCGCCGCGGUAAUACGGAGGGGGCAAGCGUUAUCCGGAAUUAUUGGGCGUAAAGGGUACGUAGGUGGCCUUUUAAGCGUAGGGUAUAAGGCAAUGGCUCAACCAUUGUUCGCCCUAUGAACUGGAAGGCUUGAGUGCAGGAGAGGAAAGCGGAAUUCCUAGUGUAGCGGUGGAAUGCAUAGAUAUUAGGAGGAACACCGGCGGCGAAGGCGGCUUUCUGGAUUGUAACUGACACUGAGGCACGAAAGCGUGGGUAGCAAACAGGAUUAGAUACCCCAGUAGUCCCUGUCUCUUAUACC
rnacentral:rRNA from 1 species